GUGUCUUGAACACUUCCACUCAUACUAUCAUACUGCGAUGGCGGCAAGUGUCCCGCCAUGACGACUUCUCUGGCUGCGCUUCAACUCGCCUUCCUUUCACCGGCCGCUUCCAAAAAAUUUGCAUAUCCCGAUUCUAGUUUGUUGUAUCGUGUAUCGCUACUGUUCUCUAAAGAAGGUGCAAAUUGUUCAGCAGUUUUUCAGCUGUUCUGGGCGUAGAAAUGUCAAUUUGUGGGUUGUGCCAAUGCUUCCAAUCCAAGAAAUGGCCAAGGAAGUGGUGAAGGGAACAUAUAUUAUCAUCAAGUUUCUAGAUGUCCAGUUUAGUUUCAGGAGGCUGAUCUUGUAUUGGCGAUGUGCAGUUACUUCAGUCCUUUGAUGAAAUCGAUUACAAACAGAGGCCAAACUGAUUAUGCCAUGAAUGAGGAAGACCUUGAAGAGAGAGAUGAUCUUUCGACUCGAGAGUCUCGAUUCUUGUAUCCAACAGCUGAUACUCGGUCGACAUUAAGGGGUUGGAGACCAUCUUAUAGAGAUGCAUUGCUUUCAGUGAGAAAAAAAAGUUAAACGUUCCUUGCUCAACCAAGUUGUCAUCUGGAGACAUUGAAGCAGAAAUCUUUCUUCAUUUGUUCCUGCAAGGUACUUCCCCUAAGCCUGUGGGUUAGGUAAAAAUUUUAUAUUCUUGAUUUGCUCAUCUAAAAUUUAGAUGUGUCGCUAUAUCUGAAGUUGCAUACAUGAAUCAAGUGCUGUGUAAGUUGGUAAGUCAGAAAACUUUGUCCUUGCCCAUGUAGUGAAGAAUCAUUAUGGCAGUCUAACCUUGAAGAUAGUAUACAAAUUGGACUCAAUCUGUGCAAGGUGAAACUUUAGCAGCUACAGAUGGAGCAUCUAACCUGCAAUCCUUGAUAUUAAAGGUAUCGGUUUUAUAAAAUUUUUCCCCUCAAGAAGCUUUCCUCUUGUGUCAGCUUGCUAGGACAUUAUCUGGGAAGGUGUUCCAACAAGCGGCCAACCAUUGAAUUAAAAAGGAAAUCAUCAAAAAGGGUUUUGCUGGUGCUGCUUUAAGGUAUCUGGGUUUCAGAAGCACGAUGACUUUGCUCGGCCCAAUGAACUAACAAAAGGUUUUGGGGAACAUUUCUGGCGGAUGUGGUGAUUCAGAUGAUGGGAACUGAUUAUGCUCUAAUAUUUAGAGUUAUUCUGAACUGGGCCUGUUUGAGCUUUCCCUUUCCGGCUUCUCCUCAAAAUUUUUAAAGCAUGUCUGCUAGAGAGAG